GCACACUGGGGCAAGCGGGCAUGCCAGAACUUGGGUAAGUUUGGCUGGGCUCUUUGAACUGGUGUUUUGCUCAUAGUGAUCAUCAGUGGAAGUUUGUUUUUAAGUCAAAAUUGCCUUAACAUCGAAGAACAGCUGAAAAAGCCCAUGGCUGUCUCUCUUAACAGGUGGCAAAAUCUCAUAAGUGUUAAGGAUGGAAAGGGCUUGAGGGCAAUGACUUGAAGUUCUAUUUUUUUCACUGCCUUUAUUUCCUGUUACCAGGAAGUCUUCUCCAUCCCACAGCCUGACUUACUGAGUUAGGUAGUUUGUAUUCUUACUCCUUGGUAGCUGGAGCUCUCCUGUUUCAGUGAUGUCCCUUUAAACUGAAGACACCCCUGCCCCAGGCCAGACUUAAGCUUUUUCUACUGUGGACAAGCUGUUCUUCUGUUAUUCUGUCCAGUAGAAGUUUAGCAUCUCACAUUCUAGAGUGUGCUCUUCAUUUCUAAACCAUCCACUUCAUGAAUACUUAUGCAAGGACAUUUCCACAAAGACUCAAAACCACUCCCACAGCCUAGCUGAGGUCUACAUGCCAUACACAGUAGCAUGGCUCCCAAAGAGAGGGAUCCUUUAGCAGCAGAACUCAAGUUUAUUAAAACAGCAUUACAAUUAUAAUGAAACUUAGUUUUACC
rnacentral:lncRNA from 1 species